AGGAAGUGUUCUAACUUCACUGAUUUACAUGCAGCUGUCCUGCUUUCCCAGCACCACUCGCUGAAAACACUGUCUUUUCUCUAUUGUAUAUUCUUGUAUCCUUUGUUAAUCGACUGUAGGUGUGAAGAUUUAUUUCUGGGCUCUCUAUUCUGUGCCAUUGAUACAUAUAUCUGUUUUUGUGCUAACACCAUGCUCUUUUGAUUACUGUAACUCUGUACUAUUGUCUGAAGUCUGGGAAGGGUUAUGCCUCCAGUUUUGUUCCUUUUCCUCAGGAUUGCUUUGGCAAUUCUGGGUCUUUUAUGGUUCUAUAUAAACUUUAGGAUUAUUUAUUCUAGUUCUGUGAAAAAUGUCACGGGUAGUUUGAUAGAGAUCGCAUUAAAUCCGUAGAUUGCUUUGGGUAGGUGACCAUUUUAACAAUAUUAAUUCUUCCAGUCCAAGAGCAUGGAAUAUCUUUCCAUUUCUUUGAAUCAUCUUCAAGUUCCUUUAUCAAUUAAACUGGAAAUCUGAGUUAAGCACCGAACACUGCGCUGAGUAUACAUUAGGUGCUCAAUCAUUGUUAAUCCCAGCCAUGCUUAUUUCCUCACAAGGCCUCUGGGGAGGAAGACAUGGCUUAGGGAAAGAAUGUCAGUAUCAAGUGAAUGCUAAAACUGAGGACAGAUCUAAGGAAGGGCCAGGAUGGAGGGAAAUGACAGUCCUCAGAGGUGCUGGGUCCCUUCAGUCCUGAAGUUCCAGAGGAAAGGGCCUACCAGUGUGCCCAGAUUAAGAGGGGCCAUUAGUGGGUUAAAACCCACUAAGGGACACUGCCAGGAUUUUUUACCUGUAGGGGAGGACUGGAGGGCAGAGAGGAGGCCCCUAAGCACAAGGUUAAGCUUUGAGUCUGCUUAGAAAUUCCCCAGUGAGAGGCCAUGUGGUUCUUGUGGCCCCAGAGGGCAGAGCUAUCACUGAGGGAGACAAAAACUAGCUCCUCGGCCAGGGGUCAUUUUAACAAUCAGAGUUUCCUCCAAACCAUGAGCUGCUCCCAGAGGUAGUGAGCUCUCAGAUACAAGGGAUUACUGGAGGUGGAGGUUGAAAUAUGGGAUGAAGGGUUGGAAGAUAAAACUCUCAAGUUCACUUCCUUCCAAGAGUCUGGGAUUCAGAGCUCCCGGGAGAAGGAAAGGUGGUGGGCAGCGUGCAGGGCCGGGCUGAGGCCCAGGAUCUGUGGGGAAGAGAGAAAACAGGCUCUGCAGAGGCUUGGGAGUGCAGCUCAUUGGUCAUUGGGGACACCUUCACAGCCCUAGACCACUGAUUUUUCCCUCUGGGUGGGGCCCCUUGCCCAGAAGUGAUGCACCGUCCCCAGCAGGGAAUGUGAGCCCGUCGUCCACAUGGGGGCAGCAUGGGACCUCAGGUGGAGUGGUGCUGAUGCAGGUCGGCUGGAGCACCCCUCCUUUGAGAAGGAGGCCCUUUGAGCCUCCCAGACCUCUCCCAUCCCUGCUUCUGGCACCAAUCCUCCCACCUCCCCCACCCAUGGACCAAGCCUCUGUCAUCCUCAGCAGGUUCUCUGGUGUGUUGGGUCUCCCCUGGCUUCAAGCUUCUGGUAGUGGUGGUGGAUGGUGUCUUCCCCCAGAGAGGGAUCAGGGCAGAGAACAUGGCGCCUGCAGGUAUUCCUGGGCACAGCCCCUGCUGGUCCACCUCAGAGUUACUGGAUGCUAUGUCUGUUGGAGUUUAAAGGAACAGGUUUUGAAUCAGACAGACUUGGGUGCAAAUUCUGACUGCCACUCACCAGCAGAGUGACUUCACCUCUUUGAGCCUCAGCCUCUUCACUUGUGACAGUGGAGAGGGAGACAGUGAAGGCAGAGACAGUGGAGGGAGUGCUGAGCAGGCAAGAAGCCUCCUGGAGUCCGGCUGAGCAUUCCUGAGACUGCCCAGCAGCCUAGGGAGCUAGUGGGGUUCUUAUCACCCUGUUUCACAGAUGGGGAGAUGGAGUCCUUGGGCGUGACUUGCUAGUGGUCCCACAGCCAAAUGGAGAGCUAUCCUGGUCCAGAUGCCCCCCCAGGACUUGAGGAGCAUGGGAUGGUGUGUGCUUGGUAAGGUCAUGGAGGAAGCCCUGUGACACUGACCACCAGGUGACCUGGGGGAAGCCCCUGGCCUUCAUGGCCAACAGAUACCCAGAGUAGGGGCCUGUGUCGACUCAGACCCACUCACCCCACCCAGAACAGGCCUAGAAAGGAGGGGGUGUUUGUGGUGGUGGCAGUGUCCCUGGGAGGAGGGCAGGCUCGGGGUGGGGCUGGGGUCCGCUGGCCUCAGGAAGGCAGGGACUGGCCGAGUGUGAAGGGGGAGAUGCUUGGUAGCACAGAGGACUGUCCCGCUAGGAAGGGAGGGAUGGAAAAUGUGGGCACACGUUGGGGCUGGACAGUGCAGGACUGCACACCAGAGGGGCUCCCACUCCUGCAUCUGAGGUUUUGAGAGGAUCUGAAAAGGAAAAAUGAAGCUGAGGGUUGAGAAGGACCCCUUCCCUUCUCCCUUAGCAGCCUCCAGUGGAGCCAGCAACGUCAUUGCCAUGGCAACCACGGCCCCUCCAGCUCCCCUUUCUCCUUUCGCCCCAUCCUACCUGGAUGCCCCUCUCUCCUGUGCGUGCCUCCCUAGCCCGGGUAAAGAGAGGCUGGGGACAGGGGCAGGUUCCUUUCUCAGCCCUGGUUAUAGCCCAGGAGCUGGAUCCCAGGGCCACUCCUGCCUCAGGAUCAGAUGGAAGAUUCUUAAGUGGAGAGAGGGCAGGAUGAAGUGGCUUUUGCAAGAAUUCUUCUGAAUGAACCAGGGGUCUGUCACCUCCCUAAAAUCUCAAGCCCCCAACUCUCCAAGUCCCAACCCUCUCCCAGGAGACAAAAGCUGCAACCCAGGAGCCCCUGGGAGAGUUGGGAAAACCAGCACUGGGGCAGGGACCUUGACAAUCACCUAGUUGCCCUCUCUAAGCCUAUAGAUGGGAAAUGGAGGUCUGGAGAGAAGGGACUUGCCCAAGGGCACACAAAGAGUGGGUGGCAAAGUCAAGCAGGGAACCCAGAUGGUCAGAGGAGGGGAUUGGGGCCAUCCUUAUUGUUGGGUUAAAGGACAGGCGAUGAGGUCAUUGGAUGCUGCACCCCACAGGGGUGGGAGUCUGGGGGCAGCUGUGGGCCUGCCCUUGUCUGCUCCCUGUUUAGUGCUUCAGUAAACCCCCUCUCAGCCCCAGCACAUAAUGGACUAGUGAGGGAGGAGGCCUAGCCCUGUUUAGGGAGGAACAGAGGACACCAGAAAGAGCAGAAAGGAGCUGGGGAUCUGAAGAGGGGCACAGUCAGGAGGGCUAGAGAUCCUAAUGGUCUUAUCAGGUGCCCUGAGUAAGAAGGGCUUGUGGCCCUAGACAAUGGGCUUUGGCCCAAUUGCUGCCUUUUCUAAGCUGUGGGUCCCUGGGCAAAUCACCCGCCUACCCAGGGGCUGCCCCUCACCCGCCCUGCCAUCCCCAUCCCUUGUAAAACAAGGAGAUUCUCCAUGAUGGAGCAAACAGAAAGGGUGACCCCUGGUUCCACUUGGGAGAUCAGUGGGUGGGCCUUUUGAGGCCCCAAGUUUGAAACCUUUAUGUCUGCUGAGCCAGGGCUACUGCCAUGAUCACCUGGAAGAUCUCCUAUGCUCAAAGUCUGAGGGGCUGGGACAAGAGGAAGCUGCGGGGCACAGCACCCCAAGAUGCAGAACAGAGAGAGGUCCAUCUAGGCAGGAGCCUCAGGUUUGGAAGGGGACGCGGAGGCCUUCCUGGGAGACGAGGCAUGCUUCUGGGGCUCAAAGGCAGGCCAUGUAAGUCCGGCAGAGGUGGGAGGGGGUGAGGCAAAUACAGUGGGCCGAGCAGGCACAAGCCAGCGUUUGCUCCCCAUGGUCUCUGGCACUGGAACCCAGCUGAUUAGGGCGUGCCUAGGCUGUUGCUGCACCUACUGCAAAGUCCCGGAGGCUUGGCCCACAGUGAAUGUCCUUACCUUCCAGCAUACCAUCCUUCCAGCUUGGGCAGGAAAGAGGAAACCUGCCAGGGCCUGGAGCCAGGAGCUGUGCAUCAGCUGUCACUGUCCUCGCCACACCCGCAGAGUGGCCUCUCUUGUUGCAGAUGAGGGAACUGAGGUUCAGAAAGGUUAAGUGACUUGCCCAGGGUCACCCUGCUCCUUUUCUGUCAAGGUCACUCCUGGGAGCUCUUCUGGGCUUGGACGUUGUUGCCUGAGACUCAACACUGGUGACCACUGAGUAUCGAGCCUGUGGGAGAGUGUGCUCUGGCAUCAUGGCCUGUGGAUCCCAGUACAACAUCCCCCCAGUACAACAUUAUCAGUCUUCCUUUCUGUUCUUUAGUUGGUUGUUAGAUGGUCGUCACAUUCUCAGGCAUUCACGGCCUGUCCACUAGUGAAGGCUGGAGGGCAUGACUCAGAUGCCGCUAUGACACUCAGCAGCUGGGUAACCUUGAGCAAAUGCUCCGUCCUCCUGUGGCUCUGUGACCUGGCCUGAGAGAUGGGGAUGAGGGCGCCACCUACUAUGCUGCUACGGCUCCAGGCACUCUUUCAUGCCAAGUACUUCCGGGGCCUGGACCAUGGUGUCCGUCCCAUUUGGUAGCCCUCCUAGGGCCAGGCAGAAGGCCAGGCAGGUGAUAUCAGGAAGGGGGGGUCUUCCCUGCCCCCAAAUCUCCCCUGGAAACACAGAAGCUGCCCACUCCCAAGGCACCUUGCCCAGAGGGGGAUGGCUCCCAGAAUGCCCUCCUCAGUGCAGGCAGGGAGGAUGGGGAUGGAACCAGGAGAGGGCAGGCUGAGGACAGCUGCUGAGUGGUGGCAGUGAGGGGCAUGUGGGGGACACCCGUCACCCUUAACAAGCUUGCCCCAGUGUGGGGAGCUUACUGGUGAAAAGCCCAGGGUCCUGGCUCCACCCAUCUCAGCGGCGGUGGCCUGCCUGGCCCAAGCCCUGGAAGCACUGGUUUUAAUCCAUCUUUUUCUGCAAGCAGCUCCUGGAGGCGCGGGGGCGGCUUCCCCUUGACUUGCAUCUCCAGGAGGAUGCGGCUUGGCUAAAAAUAACUCAAAUUACUGUGCUCCCACCCUGGCUCAGAGGAGGAGCCUGGGGGCUACGGGGGCGGGAGCCUGGAGGGAAUGUUGCUGCUGCAGCUGCAGCCAGGACGGGGUUCCCUGAGAGGAGAUGGGAAAAAACCAGCGUUGACAGGUGGGAAGGGGUGCAGAACGUUGAAGGGAGCCGGCCCUUUCUCACCCAGUUCUCUACAGGCCUGCUCUCGGAGGACAGUGCUGUGGGAGCAGAACUGGGGGUGAAGGCCCGCCUCGAUCCCUGGCCUUGCACCAUGAAAGGGGCUAGCCUGGCUGGGUGGUAGCAGUGGGCUCGGUCCAGCAGGAAGUCUGGAGGAGACCCCUGUACCCUUCAGCCCAGUAUUGUUGAAUGCAAGCAGUAACAGUAAUGGUGGAGGCGGGGAUAUAUAGAGCCCGGGGACCAGAUGUACUUAGGAGGGUGACUCAAGGUGCAGUGCACGUAGGAUCCAGAUUUGAAAUAAACAGAGUUGCUGCAGCUGCACCCCUACCCAGACCUCCCCAUCCCUCACCCCUCCAGGGUGGGCUCAGGUCACAAGGAGCCUCAUUCUGGGGCACCAGUGUGCCUAGGACGUGCCUGCGUGUGCAGGAGGGUCAGGGAAAUGGAGGAGCAGUGAACUCUGCCGGGAUGGGAACCAGACAAGUGAUAACAAUAAUGAUCAUAAAAUCACCCCCACCCUGGGGAUGUUUUUAGCAGCACUGUUUCUAAGGAGAAACUAAGCAACACAAAUAUCCAGUGAGAGGAGAACUGAGAAAUCAACUACUGCUCCCACAGCAACAUGGGUGAAUCCUAAACCAUAAUGGGGAGUAAAGAAAACAAAUUGCAGGAAACUACAUUCAGUUCAAAGCCAUUUUUAUAAAGCUCCCUCCCAAAGUAAAACUAAACAGUAUUGUUUUAAGCAUUCAUAUGUUUAUGAUAGAACUAUUUACAAAAGGCCAAAAUGUGAUAAACCAAGAUUCUUGAUUUGCUGGAGGGGACAGGAGUUGGUUAGAGGUGGCACUCACGGGGAGAUUCCACCGGUGAACAUGUGUUGCUGGCCCAGGGGUGCCAGGCGCUAUUCAGGGUGUGCGGGGCAGGGAUGCAGGGACAGCAAGACAGACAUGAACCCCAGACCUCAUUGCACUUACAGUCUCACAAGGCACAUUUAAUUCCUGUUCUUAUAUCGUGUGGUGGGUCACCAGUGUCCAUUAUAUGAUUAUGCAUCGUCACAAAUAUUCCUUUACAUUAAUCAAAUAUUAUAUUUAAAGAGAGAAAUAAGGAAUAAACACAAAGUUAAUUGACCUCUUCCACCAAAAAAUAUCCCACCAAGUGGGUGAACUAUGGAGGCUGAACACCUCUCCCUGCCUCCUCUCACUGAUACUCCAUCACAUUCAUCCAGGAGGAGUCCCAACCCCUGGACCCCAUCCCUCCUCCAAUCUCCAGUCCCAGCUGAAUGUCCCACAAGGUGAUUCUCUCACUGAUCAGCAGGCAAAGGUCAAAUUUGGCUUGGAGUGCCAGGUUGGUAGAUGGGGCAGGAAACCCAACCUCUGGGAGAGCUAGAGCCAGUGGGGGAGAUGAAAUGCAAUAGAGAGACAUGCAGAGCCUAGGAAAGAGCCCUCUUCCUGGCCCAGGACUCUCGCACUAUGUUAAUAGAGGUGGAGGCUGCAGAAGAUUGGAAGUAACAGUCUGCUCUGUCUCUUCAUCUUUACCUGAGGGGCUCAGUCUGCCAUCCAUCCAUCCAUUCAUCCAUCCAACCACACAUUAUAUAAUGGACACUGGUGACCUACCACACAACACAAGAACAGCAACAAAGUGUGCUGCCUUGCGAGACUGUAAACUCCACAAGGCCAGGAGUUCAUGUCUGUCUGGCUCAUGCCUGCAUCCCUUACCUGCCCCCCACAACUUCCCUGUUCAGCUGUCUGGGGUCAGGGCCAGUCUAGCCACCUCCACCCUAUGGCCUGGUGCAUGGUAGAUACUUACUGAGGAGGUAUCCUGCCUCUCUGUCACUGCUUUCAGCAGAAAAGGAUGCACCUCCAGGCCCUCACAUGGGCUGUUCCCUCUGCCUGGGACAGUGUACCCACCACCUGGCUCAGCCUAAAGGUCAUUGCCUCUGGGAGGCCUUCCAGGACCACCACAGGCAGGCCAAGCCCCUCUCUUCACACCUCCCCCAACACCACAAGCUGUACCCUGAUCAUCUUUGUCUAGGUCCCUCUUGCCUUCUGAGUUGGGGGACUCCCCCAGGGCAGACCCAGGACCCCCAGCAUCCCCAGGGUCCACGGGAGGGCUCUCAGCUUCAUCUUCUCAGCCAUUCCGACUCCUGAACAGUCUGGCAAUUUUCCCUGGAGGAACCAGGCAGAAGGGGGAGGUCAACCACUUCAUCAGGCCCCAUACCUCUUGGACCCUCUAUCUGGGUCCUUGCCCCUCCCCUAGUAGCCCACCCAUAUUCCCUGAGCACCACCGGGACUUCAGGCAUCCAUCUCUUCUGUUCCAGAGCUGCCUUCAACAGGAGAGGUAGUGGGUGGGAAGGGUCUGGGCAGGGGAAGAGGGGCUACAGGAAGAUCCCUGAGAGAACCCUCCCCCCUGCUCUCUAUGUCCACAGCCUGUGAUGGAUGCAGGGUGGGAGGUGGGGGAGAUGGCAGUGGCUAGUCUUCAGUCCAAAUCCAGGUCACUCCUGGCCUGCUCAGCAGACAUCAGUAAUUAGGGGCCAGCAGGACGUAGGCAGGCGGGUGGCAGGAGGCCUAAUUGUCUGAUUUUUCAGGUAAUUAACGGGAGGCUGUCUGGCUUGUCCCCACGGGGCCCAGCAUCUGCCACCCCAUCCCCUGGGCAGCCCCAGCCGCCUAACGAGGCCAAUUACUGAGUGGUUCCUGGGCCCUCAUUAGCCACCUGGAAAGGUCAUGUGGGAAUGGCACCGGUGUUGGGGCUCCGCCAGCCUUGGUGGCCACUGGGAGCCCCCAGAUAUCAGGAUGCAGGAUGUGCUGGCCAUAGGUCUCUGCUGCUGCCCACUGAGGGGUAGCCUGCUCACACCCGGGACCCCACUUCUUGCCUCUCAGGACUGUAGCUUUAGAUCAAAUCCUCCCCCGCCGCUUCCCAGCCAUGUGGCUUUGGGCGUGUCACUCCCCUGUCCCACCCUCUGUUUCCUGAAUCAGAGAUGGUGGAUGUAAAGGGCCUGAUGCACAGUAGGUUCCCAGGGCACCAGUGCUCACCUUCUUCCAACGGGGUUAACUCCUUUACUUCACUCUUGAGGAAUGGGAGGCCCAGAGCAGGUAGGGCCUGAGGUCACUGAUGUGUCCAGAGCCCACUCUGCAGGGCCUCUGGUGGCUAAUUCACCCCUGGGACCUCAGCAGCUGGGUGAGGAGUCCUGGGAAGGGUCAUAGAGGCGAUCUGGCUGGGGAGGAGGGCCCGGGAGCAGCUGGACCUUCCGGACACCUGAGCAGAGUGACAGUGGGGAAGCAAGAGAUCUCCAGGAUAUGUGGGGCUUUGGAGAUCGCGAUGGAGCUGGAGGCCCUCCACCUCACUGGAUGCUGCAGGACACCCAGGGAAAGCCGAGGGGCACAUGGCGGUGCCCAGCCUGCUGCCCAAGGCAGGGAUCCAUCCUUUCUUGGUUGGUCCACACCAUUCUUGGCCCAGGAGAUCACUGUGCCUUCAGAUGUUGAGUUUUUUUGGCUUCUGUAGCUCCUCUGUUUUAAGAAUUCAGUGACCUAAUUCCAUGCUGACAAAUUCCAUGCUGUUCUGCCUCCUGUAAUCGUCAGCUAAUGCUACUUUUGGUCCUACUGCCAGCCCAGAAUCUAGGCCAAGGGUUUCCAAACUGUGUACCCCAGGAGCCCUGGGGUGAGAGCGGAAGGAGGAGGCUACGGACCCUCCAAUUGGAACAGCUGGGCUUUGAUCUUUUGAUAAAAUAUUAGUAGCUACUCCUUCGUAAGCUUUUGCUGUGUGCUAGGCAUGCUCAGGGACUCUGCCUCCACAAUUGCAUUUUUGUCCUCAUAAAACCCCAUGAGGAAGAUUGCAUCAUAUCCCCAUUUUACAGAUGAGGCUGCUAACACUGUUGGAGGCUGAGGCUCAGCAGCAUGCCCCAGGGCUCACAGCCUGUAGGAAGGAGAGCCGGAACUUGGACCGUUUCCACUCUGAGCCACUGGGAAGAUGGGUUCUGCAGCUAGAAAGGAAACUAGGUGCAGGAGUUGGGGGGAGUGUCACGUUUAUCAUGAUUUGUUUCCUCCAGGUCGGAGUGGGUGAGAGUGCCUACCUCUGCCCCAGGAGAGCGUGGCCCCAGUCCCAGGUCACCACGUGGUUGGUGUCUGUGCGUCUAUCUGUCUGUAUGUGUUUCCCGUCCCUCUGCUAUGGGCUCUGCUUCCCUGCGGUCCAAACCAACAGGAUCCAGCUCAGAAAUAGCAUAUGUUUCCAGCCUCUGCUAGUCCAAGUCAUAAAUCGCCUGGUGUGAUGUGCUUCUUGUGUCAGCUUGCUUCAGAACUCAGGGUGGGGGUGGCUGAAUGAGUGUGAGGAGCACGCAGGGCCUCCUCCAGGCUGAGAAGCUGAGAGCUGGGGGCCAGGCUGAGCCAGGGAGGGAAGUGGGGACCAGUCCUUGCUAGGCCUAGGGCUGGCUUGGGGGCUCAGCCAGGGGUGGGAGCCAGCGGGUGGUGGCCCGGAUUCAACCUGGGCCUAAGGGUUGAAACUUAAACUGGAGCUGAGGUUGGAGACCAGAGGGCUGGGCUUCAGUCUUGUCCAGCGAUCAGUGGUCCAGACUUGGCAUGGAGUCAGGGGUCAGAGGGCAGGGGCCAUCGUUCAGCAUUUGAUGAGGAUGGAGAGCUAAGCUCAUUCUGAGGUCAGGGGCAGGACUCAGGCUGAGGUAGGGCCAGAGGUCGAGGUCAGGAUCAGCCCUCAGCUGACAGAGGAGGAAGUCCCCAAAGACUCAGAAGCCUUCCUGUAUCCUGGAAAUGACCUGGGGCAGGACCAGUGACGGAGGACCUACGAUAAAUAAGAUGAGAGCUUCCAGGGAUUGACCAUGACUGAAAAGGACUGGGCGUAGAUCUUCUAUCCAAAACCAUGAGAGCAGGGCUAGGGGUCUCCAGCCCCAGCUUCCUGCCCUUCAGAUGGGAUUCUCAGUUGCUCAUCUCUAAAACAUGGAUGAUCGUGGCACCCACCUCCAUGUUGAUCAUGCCCUAUGAGAGUGUGAGCCCUGGGAUGGGGGUAGGUGGGCUAACAGAGAGAGGAUGAGCGGAUGGGGCAGGUACGUGAGAUGCCUUGUGGCAUGGGAGGGUGCUUCAGGGGAAGAACUGUGCUGAGGCCCUAGGUGUCCAGUCAUUACCCAGGUCCCCAUCACUCCCCAGGCUACCCCUGAGAGGUGGCUCUGCAGCCCCUCAGGCCUCAGCUGCCCCACCUGAGCUGUGUACAGGCAGCACCAUCCCAGGCACCUUUUCCAGGCCUCCACUCUGCCAGCUGAGUUUUCCCGCCUCUUCUCCGUUCUAGGUCCAGCACGGACAGAUAUUUGGGGACCAGCCCACAUGGCAGCCAGUGAGGGAGCUGGGGUGGAGUAGGCAAGCAGGAAUGAGAGGCCAGCGGGCAGAGGAGAUGGGUGCCAAGGAGGAAGCCUUAUCACAGGCCUCUCUGUUCUCAUCUCCCACGGAGCCUGGUCAAGGACCAGCCUCAGCCGUUCCCCCACUGCUGGAGCUCUGACCCCAGAGGUCUCUCCCACACCAUAGGAGAGGACAGGGAGGUUCAACCAAGGAGGGAACCAGGUAUGUAUGAGUGGGUGGGGGCUAGAGGCCAUUGAGAGUACCUGAGGGGACAGGAAUAGGGGGAGCGAGUGGAGGACAUGUGGAUGACAAGAGGGCUGCCCUGUCCGCCCAGGAUGUGAGGCCUCUAGGGUUUGGCUGUGAAAGUCCCGGUCACCUCCUCCAGCUGAGCUAUUAAUACCCAGCUACGACCCACGCACCCUCGCUGGGAGGACGCCGAGUUCCUUGGGGGCUAAAAACGGUCUGAGAUGGGGAUGGGCCCUGGUGUUCUCCCUCUCUUCUUGUCAGAGGAGCUGGGGCCAAAGGCCAGGCUGGCCUGCAAGGGGGCCGGAGCCAGGGUGGGGAGACAGAGGGUGACUGAGCCCUGGGGGUGGCCUGAGGAUUCCAGGCUGGGUCAAGAAGGCACCCAGCAGUCCAGUCCCCACUGCUCAGAGACUGAGGGCAAGGGCAGAGGUCUUGCCAGUGGUCCCACCCAGGAGGGGCCCACCACCUAGCUCUCCUGGCUCCUUGCCUUCACCCAGGCGUUCCCCUUCCCCUCAGACCUCAGCUUGGCCUGCCCAGGCUGCCAUGAGACUGGGGGCCGAGGGCUGCCUGUCUCCUCCUGCCAGGAGGAUCCUAGAAGGGAAAGGGGGCUUGGGGGUGGUGCAGGGAGGCCUGGAGCCUCUGGUGGGAUCUGAGCCAGCCGCCUGAAACAGAGCCAUCCACAUUUCAGCUUCAUGUGUGAAAUCUUGAUCAUUCACAGCACUCUCUGAGGGGGAAGUUACGGGCAGCACCAUUUUAUAGCUGAAGAAACUGAGGCUUGGUCAUCUUCCCAGAGCCUGAGCUGGAUGGACCCAGUUUGUUAGACUCCAACCCCUACUUUGUGUUGCUUCCUGUUACAUCAUUACAAAGGGAGGUUUCUUGGUUUGUUUGGGGAACCCAUGAAACAAGUGUUUUCAUCAAAAUAUCCUGAUCACCAUAUUGUCCUAGGCCCAGCAGGGUGGCUGGACCAAGAACGGGGGGCCUGCAGGGGCACCUUUCUCCUGCACUGGUCAGCCCCCUCCCGGGGAUCAGCAGCCACUUUCCCCUCCUUCCUGGGGCUCAAGGGCACAUCCUAGGAGGCUGUGCUGGGCUGCUGGGCUUCUGGGCUCAGGGCCACCCAAGGCCACCUGCUCCCGGCUGUGUCACCCUCCCUUCCCAUGACAGAUGCUCCAGGAUCCAGACACGGACCCCAGAAGAGCCCAGACUUGGCUGGCAGAGUCCAGACGAGAAUGUGGCUGAGAGGUGUCAGCCCCAGAGGCCCCGGGAGCCGGAAAUCCCGACAGCUGCCUGGCUCACGGGUCCUGGGCAUUGGGCCCUGACCCAGGGCGGGCAGUGGCCGUGUCAGGUGUCCAGAGGAGUUGGGGGAGGUGAUGGCUGGAGCUAGGGGCAGUCUGCCUGUGGUUAGCAAGGCUGUCGACACCUCCCAGGCUGCCAAGGCAGAGCAGGCGAGGAGCCUGGGGGAGGGGUCCUACCUUGGCCUGGAAGGUCUGAGGGGAGAGACAGGUCUUGUCUUGAAGAUCUGGGGUAAGAAGAACAGUCUUUCCUAAGCUGAGAGACCUGGCCUGGCUGAGAAAUCUGAAGAUGGGGACAGACCCCUAGCCUUGAGGGCUGGUAGAGGGGGUAUGUUCUUAAUGGCUGGUGGGGCAUAGGGUGUGAGGGUUGUCCCAUCUUGACCACAGGGAAGGCUACCCAUACCCUGGGCUUGGGGAGGGGAAGCUCUGAACCUGUCUCCCACCAGUUCCCCCUCAGCUGGGAGGCGGGUGGCUCUGCAGGACAAGACAGGAGGCCUCCAGCCUCAGGCUGACCACACCAACAGCCCCAGGGUUUCACUUCUCUAUGGAGAAAAGGAGAGGCCUAGUCCUGCCUGGAUUUUCCUCAGUCCCUGGGGAGGGUCUCUGCCUCUGUGCUGGUGGAGGGGGUGGGCAGGCUAACCUCAGCCGGUUCCAGAGGAGCCCUUCUGGGAUGGGCCCCCCUGCCCACCUGACCCAUGCCCCCUCAGCUCUCCUCAUGCCCACAUGCUCAACUCCCCUGGAGCCACCUCCCGCAGCAGUCUUCCUGGAUUGCUAGAGAUCAGGAGGCACCAGGCUCCCAACCCCCAUAACAGGCCUGAAGGGCCCAUGGCCGCCCUAUCUCCUUGAGGGCCCAGCCGGCAGAGCCUAACCUUGUAGGGCUUUGGGCUGCCAUCUCUCUUCUCCCACUUUCCUUUCAAUGUGCCCUCUUUCCUGGCUUUCCUAGACUUUCCAAACCAGCCCCUGGGCCACACCAGGUCUGGGGUCCCCUCCCAUCUCUGCUGUCCCGCCUGCCCAGUCUGGGGCUCAGUCCCUAUGCCCUGCACCUCUGUCUUUUCUUUCUGGGUUUAUCUUUGUUCUCUGGCCUCUGACUCAGACCUGACCCUAUCUCUCUGUUUCAGUCUCCAUGUCUGCCCCCUUUCCAUCUCUGUCUGGCUCCCUCACCCAGUCUCAGACAUCUCAGCCUUUCUGUCACUGUUGCUCUAGGACCUGAUCCCGGCAGUGUCUCCUCUCCCCACCUGGCCGGGGCACCAGCUCAGACAUCUGCUCUGACGUCUGCUCACUGGGCCCCAUGAAGAGCUCAGACAACACUUGUGGUCUCAACUCUGGCCCAGCUCCAGGGGAACUGCUGUGAUUCCUCGAAGGGGGAGAAACACGCAGGAGCUAUAAUUAGUCAGGAAGAGGAAAGAAGAGUGGAGCGUGUGAAUCACCAGCCCCGGUGACAGACGGCAGAGCCGAGAAGAAGUUUAGGGAGAAGCUGCUGGGAUGUGGGCUGAGUAUUAUUCCACUGUACAUAUUGCACGGGGUUUUCUGUGCUGCAUCUCAGGACAUGUGAGCCGCUGGACACCGAGCGCCAUCCGCGUGGCUCUGUGGAGCCCCCCAGAGUGGGCUCUGAGCGCAGGCGGGUGAGCUGGGCUCUGCAGGAGCCUCCGUCCCCACAACACCUCUCUCCCAGGUGGGACAGGAGCGGGUGGCCACAGCUGAAUUCACUCCGGGUCUCUCCGGGCGGGUGGAGCCGACGCUUCAGCGGCACGAGCAGCGUGGAGAGGCGGGCCCAGCCUGGCCUGGAGCCGGGUAGCUGGCUAGGCGCUGGGCGGUGGAUUCUGCUGCUCCGCUUUGGCGUUCCGGGCACAUCCCAGGGCUGCAGCAGAGGCGACAGGGAGAAGCCAGGGCCUAGGCUGUGUGGCUGGGAGAGGCCUGAGCAGAUCCUACCCAGCACCGGCUGCAGCACCAACCGGACGGCCUCAGGGACCCCCACUGGGCCUGCUCCCUGCUCGCGCCUCCGAGGGCUCCCUCCGGACUGCCUGCAUGAAUACAGCUCAGCUUCCUGGCUCAGUGCCUUAUCCUCCCGGUAAAAAAGAGAGGAAGAGAACCAUGUACAGCAUGGAAGCUUUUUGUCAAUUUCUCAACUGUGGCAAGAUUUUAAUCUGCUGCCUUAAAGAAUCCCUGAAAACCACCCCCGUGAGGUAAGAUGCAGUGGGGGCGGAGUUUCCGUGGCCUCGCUCUCAUGCUGAGGGUGGGCUCGCUCAGGGACCCCGGCUCGACUGCUCACCCCUCCCGGGGACCCCAUGCAGUCCUGACACCUGGGAGAACUGAGCUUGGAGAAGGAACAGAACUGGAGGAGGAUAACGGAAUCCGUGGCUUUGUUCUGUGGAUACAGGGGCAGGGUGGGGGAUGGACAGAGCCUCACACCCCUUUCUUUCCUAGUCUAUCCUUGCUGCCUCCCUGUGCUGGGAUUGAAAUGGGUGCGAGUUUCUUAAUGGAAGGCAUGGGUGAGAUGAGCGCAGGGCAGGCUUCCACGGGACAAGGGGGCUGGGGGUGGCAGCUGAACCAGAGCGAAGGCCAGGGUAUGGGAAGAAACUUGGGAGGUGGGGCUGGGCCGCAC